ACUCGUCCUUUUGGGCUCGCUGGCCUUCCUUCCCUCCUGCGUGUUAAAAUAGUAACAACCAUAACAUAUUUGUAUUUCAGGGGUCUAAAAUUUGGCUUUUUCUAGCUACCUCUAUUUCCCGCCCCCCCAAAUGAAAACAAUAGAAGAUGCAUUGCGAAAUAUUGUAAGCAGUUAUGUUAUAGUCAGGGGAUGAUUCUGGCUCUAUUUAUUGAGCACGUAUAAUGUAUCCAGGUUGCUAGGGAAGCUCUGGCUGCCCUGUUCUGGAAGUGUUCAAGGCAGGUUGGAUGGGUUUGGAGCAAUCUUGUCUGCUGGAAAGUGUCCCCAUAGCAGAGGGUGGAAUGAAAUGAGCUUUAAGAUCCUUUCCAACCCAAACCACUCUGAGAGUCUAUGAUUCUAAAUGUCCUUUUCCAGGUUAAGUAAAGGUGGCUCAUCCACCCAAGACACCCAAGAUUUUAUUUUCCUCAAUGUGAUGAAGUGUUUUUGGUGAAGUGUUAUGGUACCAAUGAGCUGGUAGCUCAUUGGUGCCCCUACAUGCUACCAGUCCCUAACAGAGACCUGGGUUGUUGUUUCCAUAGCAUUAGAAUUUGGAAAUCAGUGCUGAUUUCCAGCCUCAGUAGCUACUGGGGCCUUGGUACAUCUUUCAGCUCUGUUUAUGCUCCACAUAAUUAAUGACAUUUGUGUUAGCUCAGUGCACAGAGCAUCUGUCCUUCAGUCUGGGCCCUGAUUCCGUGGGAAGUGUUUCUAAUUUAAGAUUGGUGUGAGGCAGGAGCUCAGAGCUGACCAUAUUUGCAGCUCAGUGUGAGCAGUGAUGCUCCUCUGAGGAGUAACUUCCUCUUACUCAUCACAACAUUUGUAUUCCUGUGUCUCUGUCAGUGCCUGUUAUUGGUAUUUUGAGGCUGACAUGUGAGCAUUUGCCUUCAGCCUGUAAAACUGGCUCUGCCUAUGGCCUGACAGUGAUGGAGUUUAAUGAGUUGCUCCUAAGACUCUAAAACUCUGGAGGGUGAAGUUUCUGUUUUGUGAAGUGCAGUCUCACAUCUGAGUUUUAUGGUAAGUGCUUUAAUUUUGUUUUGCACUCUGUUUUUAUUAAUAGCUGUGGUAAUUCCUAGUAGUUAUGGGAUAACUGUUAUGAAAGGGUAAAAUUGGAAGUGUUCUGCAGCCUUCAUGAGCCUGGCUGAGUUAACAUCAACAGUGGAUUAACCACCACAGUGGAGGUAAAGAAGAUAAUUAAAUACCACCACAAUUACAUGGCAUAUGAGGGGGAGAGUUGGCUUUUUUUUUUUUGGUAUUUGGACUGUUUGUUCCUGUAAUACUCAAACUCACUCUGUUACUCUUGUCUUUAGAUUUCAUUUUCUGCAGUGCUCAUCAGAAGCCAGCAUGAGACAGGGAAAUACUGUUGGUCAUAACAGCCUGUCAGUGCAGCAGCCUGGAUAUGCUUUGACUUCUUGCCAAAUUAAACAGGAGUUCUGCUCUUAGGAAGUACCAGCUUCUAGAUAAGAUAUCACUUUCCUGGCUAGCAUUAAUUCUCCCACUCUACGUGUGGAAUUGCUGCUGAUAAGCACUCAAAGGACAAUAAGCAAGGCUCAUGAUAAGAAUUGUUGCAGAGAGCCUGAUGACAGAUUUUGUGAUAUGUUUCUGCUAACAGUUGAAAUGUGGUUUUGAGCAUGGUCUCCUAAAGAGUUGCAGCCCUAAUGUAGGCAGGAGCUCUCACAGUGAUUUAUCAAACACAGAACAAGUAUUUAUUGAGGAUACAUCAAUAUUGCUCGGGAUAUGUGGCAGGUGGACAGGCACACGUGAGCUGAAAGUUUUAAAACCCAUCAUGUCCCAAAAUCCAAACAGUUCUUACUGUAGCCUGGCAGUUGAGAUCACAGGAGACAUCCAGAGUUAAAUGAAUUCCAAAUUCAGUGCUGAAAUAGCAGAACUUUUGAUGCCUAAAUACACAUGUAUGCAGAUGUACUGUGUCAUCCUGAAAGGGGAAUACUCCUGAAUUUAAGAUGAUUCUUUCACAGCUUUCUCCUUCACACCCCAAAAAUGUAUAGAAAAGCUUACUAAGUACUUGUAAUCAGCAUAGAGUACAGAGAAAGGCUUUUUGCUGAUGGUUUAUUCAUCAGUGGGAGUGAUCCUCUUCAGUGAAUUCAAACAGCAUCUAUUUCUAGUAGUGGAGAUCCCCAUCAGAGAAAUAAAUCAUGAUCUUGUGGUUGGCCCAGCAGCAAGGAAGGCCCAGCUGCAGAUUCUUGAGGUGCAGGGAACAGGCUUUCUACAGAUCAUAUGGAAGCUGCUCUCAGACCAGCUCUACUCAAGGGCUCAAGCUUCAGUCCCCAUGGGCAAACUAAAGCCCAGCACAACAUGUUUUGUCAGAGAAUUGGGUAAAUGCAGAAGUUGUGGCAGAAGAAUUGCUGCUUUGCAUGCUAUGGUUGGUGGAAGUGAGUGUGGCUUGUUUGGAGUUUGAACAACAAAUUGAAAUUAGAAGACACUAAAAGUGUGGCAGUAGCUGAAGACCGUGAAAAGCAAGAGUGAGGGUGAUGCGAGGUAUAAAACCCAGAAAUCAAUAGAAAUAAAGCAUGAGAGGGAACUUAACUUCAGGCAAUUGUUAGCAAAAAGUAUGGAUCUGUAUAUUCAGUAAGAAAAAUUUCUCAUAUGCAGUGGCUUGGGGAGGGAGGGGAGAGCCCUUAACUAUUUAAGGUUGUUUUGCUUUUGGGAUAAAUCUGUGAGUUCAGCUUACUGUUACUGUUAGGGCUAACACUCAUGCAUGUUAUGCUGCAGGUGUAGAAGGCCAGGGGCUGAGACCUUAAGCUGCAGCAUUGAGAGAAAUGCCAGGGACUGUGGAGUCUGCAGUCCCCUGCAGGCUGUUCCCUCCCUCCCUUUCACACAGCUAGGCUGGAAGGAGUGGAAUGAAUUCUCAUGCUAGCAGCCAUUUCAUCUUGUGGUCACUGAGGCUGAAAGCAGAGAGCAGAGCUAGGACAAAUACUGGGAGUGAAAGCAGUGAUGGGGCUGUUAGAAGGGAGCUGGGCUGGUGCCUCAUGAACUGGGGCAUCACCAUGUUAGGAGGUUUCCUGGGCCUGACAUGUCUGCAGCCAAGACUGACAGGGGCCCUGAUUCCUGCAGAGCUGCUGUGCUUGAGCUCUGGAGCAGAAUGGGAUGAUGCUGUCAGUUUAUGCAGGUAUUAACUUGUCCUUGUAGCAUCAUGAGCCCUGUCCAUUCUUCAUGUUUUUAUCCAUACAAUGGCCCUGGGGGUACAGCUGUGCUGAGCUAAUUUUAUGGGUACCCUUUAAAAUCUUGUGCUGAGUGUAAUGGCUGAGGUUCCAUUUUCUCUUCACCAGCACACAGCCACCUCCCUGUUCAUUUCCCCAUCCACUGCCUCAUCCUUACUUUUGUGCAUCUCCAAGAGCUGCAGAGCAACAGCAGCUCACCAGCACAUUCUGGGUAAGUACAAAGUGACACCUGAGCACUUUUAAUUUGCUUUUUACAUUUUCAUUAAAUAACUUUCAAUCUUUUUAUUAAUGCUGCCACACAAAAUUUUAAGCAGCGUGCCACCAUCAUCUGCAGUCAGGAAAUUAAUGGUGCUGGAAGGGAGGCAAGGCACAGGUCGUGGUGACAGAGCAGCUGGAAAGAUCAAGUUCAUCUUAUUGCUACUGAGAGACUCUAAAGUUACACAUCUUUACAAUUCUUUUCUCACAUAAUAGCAACGAGUGUCCAGCCCAAGUCCAACCACGUGGUUACAGCUUCAGUCAGUAGAGGGAGUAUGGAAACCUGGGUUAAAGCCACCCAGGUCACCCAAGAGAAUUGACUUUCUUCCAGAAUUCCUCUUUUGUCUGCAAAACCAGGUGAAUUCUCUACACAUACUUUUUUUUCUAGAUGCCAAAAUGCAGCUCUUGGCUCCUAACACGGUUGAUGAAGCUCAAAGUGCAGGAGAGGGGAAUGAUCUUUUGUACUUGCCAUGCUUUUCUUCUGGUGCAGCUGGGGCUGGUAUGGAGCAUCACCUUUUCUCCUCUGUGUCAGGAUCUUAUGUCCCCAUUAGUGACUGCAGCAGGGUUCUGUUUGCCUCCAGGGAGGACACAGCCUUCACCUUUUCACUGAGCAAGCUGAGAAGGUGACUGUGCAUGACUGACUGCCAAAUGUAGAUGUUGCAAAGAGCAUCCUGCAGAACAAGGCUUGCUGGGGCUCCCUUGUGCAAGGGGAAGGAUCUUAAUGAUGAAGGAACAUAAUGGCUCUGUGAGCUUUCUGCUUGAAGACUCAGCCCCAAGAUGGUGCAGAACCAGAGGAAUUAUUUGGGGGCUCUGAUGAAUGGUACAAUCCAAGAGUUUGAAAUGGAGGUAGGCAAUAUGGGUUCAUCCAUUCUUUUACCAGUGUGUCACUCUCUUUGUGUUUUCAGAUGUAACACUUGGUCUGUUUCUCAUAAAAAUGGGAAUGUGGACUGGCUUGAUUUAUGUUUACCAGAAACUUCAAAAGGAGUUUGCAACAAAUCUGAUAUAAAGUGAAUUGUACUUUUUAAUGUUAAAGUAUUGCUUGACUUUUGCUCAGACACCAUGUAGCCAUGAUAGAGCACAAUACUGCCAGAGUGCACCCAGCAUUUGUACUUUCUAGUGCUCAUUCUUGCAUUAGCAGUCUGGGAACAUUCUCCACUGACUGCCCCUAAUUGGUACUGCAUGACAUUAUGCAACCCAUUUCAGCUGCAUCUAGUCUCUUAAACGCUGGGCAAAACUUCAUCAGAGACCUUGUGUGGCUGAAUGCAAUGGAAUAAAUCUUAACAUUCAUUCUGUACAUGUCACAGAUGGAAAUGCAAUAGUGUUGUUGUUUAUCAGCAGUCCAGGAUUUAACCUCGUGGAACUCUGGAUUCAUUCAAGCCUGCAGAGCAUGGAUUUAGAAGUGUCAGAAGGAAGAGGUGCUGUAUUCCAAGACAUCAAUUUCCUAAAGCAUAAAGGACAAAUUUAGCAAAAGGUCAAGGUAAGGGUCGAGUCUGGUUUGAUUUAAAGUGCUCAUGAUAGAAAAUGUGAGAAAAAUAACAAAAAUAAAAAAGGAGUUAUUAUCUUCA